rnacentral:rRNA from 1 species
UGGGGAAUAUUGGACAAUGGGCGAAAGCCUGAUCCAGCCAUGCCGCGUGUGUGAAGAGGGUCUUCGGAUUGUAAAGCACUUUAAGUUGGGAGGAAGGGCAGUAAGCGAAUACCUUGCUGUUUUGACGUUACCGACAGAAUAAGCACCGGCUAACUCUGUGCCAGCAGCCGCGGUAAUACAGAGGGUGCAAGCGUUAAUCGGAAUUACUGGGCGUAAAGCGCGCGUAGGUGGUUCGUUAAGUUGAAUGUGAAAGCCCCGGGCUCAACCUGGGAACUGCAUCCAAAACUGGCGAGCUAGAGUAGGGCAGAGGGUGGUGGAAUUUCCUGUGUAGCGGUGAAAUGCGUAGAUAUAGGAAGGAACACCAGUGGCGAAGGCGACCACCUGGGCUCAUACUGACACUGAGGUGCGAAAGCGUGGGGAGCAAACAGG